UGGCUCAGGACGAACGCUGGCGGCGUGCUUAACACAUGCAAGUCGAACGGUACUUCCUGAGUAGUAAUACGAAGGUUGUAUAGUGGCGGACGGGUGAGUAACGCGUGAGCAAUCUGCCUUUAAGAGGGGGACAACAGCUGGAAACGGCUGCUAAUACCGCAUAAGACCACAGUGUCGCAUGGCACAGGGGUAAAAGGAGCAAUCCGCUUAAAGAUGAGCUCGCGUCCCAUUAGCUAGUUGGUGAGGUAACGGCUCACCAAGGCUGCGAUGGGUAGCCGACCUGAGAGGGUGAUCGGCCACACUGGAACUGAGACACGGUCCAGACUCCUACGGGAGGCAGCAGUGGGGAAUAUUGGGCAAUGGAGGCAAACCUCUGACCCAGCAACGCCGCGUGAGGGAAGAAGGUUUUCGGAUUGUAAACCUCUGUCCUUGGGGACGAAGAAAGUGACGGUACCCAAGGAGGAAGCCCCGGCUAACUACGUGCCAGCAGCUGC
rnacentral:rRNA from 1 species